CCUUAUAUUUAGUUGAGAGGUUUAAUGAACACCUUAGGGCCAUUUAACCUGUGUGUACACCCCUGUCCUUUUAUUUUUGAGAAUAUUGAUUGACGCAAGAAAGGAAUGUGCUGCUUCUUUCUGGGAUUGUUUGCCAUACUGUACUCAGGAAUUCUGUUAAAUGACAUCAUUGCUUCUACUGUCAAAUAUUGGUGAUGUAGCAUUACGUCUUGUAUCUCUGUCAAUAUAAAUCUCACUAUAUUUAUUAUAGCUGAUUCUGUAGCCUAGCAUAUAGUAUAUCUAUACAAUAUGAGUAUAAAUUAGUAUAUACUUGCUGUCAACUGUAGGUACAGGUUUUUGAUACUACUGUACUCUUACAUCUUUUAUAUAGAUACUAGGUAAAUAAAUAUCUCGGGCUUAAAUCGAUAUUAUCCCCUACCAACCUACAAUGUACCAACCCCGAAAAGCAAUCAGUAAGCCCCUAGAAAAUAGUUUGUGUAAUGGCCAUGAAUGGCUUUAAUUUACAAGAAAUAUAUUUUGUUAAAUUUGAUUUCUUGUUUCAUCUGUUUAGUUGAGCAUAUAUAUCUGUUUGAUUGGUUUGAAGUUUAAACUUUGAUAUUCUGUUCCCUUAAAUCACACGGAUACAGGAGCCUAAUACUAAAUUAACACCAGUGUGAAGUCAUAACCAUCAGAAAUAAGAGUAGCAUUUUGUUAUUUGUGCUAAGAUUGCUUGGCUCACUAAUUGGUAUGCAUGUACAUGUGUACAUGAUGAUUUUUCGGAUUUUGUUUUUUCCAUCGAGAAAUAUUUUUUAUAUAUUUGUUAUAAUUUAAAAUGAAAUAAACUUGGUUUUAUUUGAUUUAUAGAUAAGAUGAUUUCUUACUAUGUAAGAAAAUAAAGAGCACUUUUAUAGAAAUAUUUUCUGCUGUGAAUAAAGAUAAGGAAUAUAAAUGGGAAAUGC
rnacentral:sRNA from 1 species